rnacentral:lncRNA from 1 species
AGACAAACCAUUCCAGGCACCCAAUACCCAAAAGGAGGAAGACUAGGAAAUACAUAAAGAAUGCAAGUGGACAACGAAUUUCAGAUAAAGACUUAAAGCCUUAAAUGAAAGAUAGAUUAGAGACUUAAAUGAUCUACUCAGCAAAUUUACUGGGAAGCUACCAGAACUUCAUCAUUAGCCCUGGCAUGGGCUGCUUCUAAUGCCCCAGGAAUUGCCCCAGCUAUGUGUCCAUGAGGUCAUCAGUUCUCAAAAAUUGGCAAAACCAAGUUAUUUUAAGAACCAACAGCUGAGACCGCUGUCUCUUCUUGCCUAGAGCAAUCGGCCUUCCUUGUAGGCCCUGGGACUGAGAGAGCUCCUGGGCCAUGGGAUGUUCAGUACUUAAAAUCAGCAAAGUCCUUGGCAAGCUGAGUGGCUAAAAUUGUUCUUGAAGCUCCUGCCUUCUGUUAUCUGGACAGUAGCCAUGCCUGUCCCAGGAACUUUCUGAAGGAUCCUAAGCUACAGCAGAUUAUACCAGAGAAAUGGAGUUGAGAUGACCUUUCCAAGACCAUCAAGAGACCACCUAAAAAUGCAUAGGGCAGAUGCUUCCCAGAUUGAAACAUGGAAAAAGGAGGUGAGAAACAAAUUGUAUUUUACAGAGAAUGGAGAUGUCAAAGCUUAACUAUAUCUUUAGUCAAAGGGCUCGCGAUCAAAAAUUAGGUUAGAAUAAUAAAACAAGUCAAGUGUGAGGAGCAGUGAGAAAUUAGUAUGUGCCAUGGUCUUGAUUAGUUUUGCAGAUAGAGUUCCAAUUCUUAGAACUCCAAGUCAUUACAUAGUCCCAAAUUUUAGCAGCUUGGAGGAAGCCAAUCACUUAAAGAUCAGGGACUAGACACAUGGACCUAGGCUGGAGUUUAAGAUCUCACACUAAAGUCCCUUUUUAGGACAGUACCAGAUAUCUGUGCAGAUUGGAAGCUGCACAAUUCCAAUGGAUCCGUUCACACCAUGUCUAUAUGAGUGACAGCCCUGGAGUGCUGCGAUCAGUUGUACAAUAUUCCACUGUUUCUUUUUUUUUUUCUUUUUUUUAAUAUAUAUUUUAUUUUUUUUAAUUUUUUUUUAUUUAUGAUAGUCACAGAGAGAGAGAGAGAGAGAGAGAGGCAGAGACAUAGG